UACGUAGGGGGCAAGCGUUAUCCGGAUUUACUGGGUGUAAAGGGAGCGUAGACGGCAGGGCAAGUCUGGAGUGAAAGGCGGGGGCUCAACCCCCGGACUGCUCUGGAAACUGCCAGGCUGGAGUGCAGGAGAGGUAAGUGGAAUUCCUAGUGUAGCGGUGAAAUGCGUAGAUAUUAGGAGGAACACCAGUGGCGAAGGCGGCUUACUGGACUGUAACUGACGUUGAGGCCCGAAAGCGUGGGGAGCAAACAGG
rnacentral:rRNA from 1 species